rnacentral:rRNA from 1 species
GGAAUAUUGGACAAUGGGCGCAAGCCUGAUCCAGCCAUGCCGCGUGAGUGAUGAAGGCCUUAGGGUUGUAAAGCUCUUUCAGCGGGGAAGAUAAUGACAUUACCCGCAGAAGAAGCCCCGGCUAACUUCGUGCCAGCAGCCGCGGUAAUACGAAGGGGGCAAGCGUUGUUCGGAAUCACUGGGCGUAAAGCGCGCGUAGGCGGAUCGAUUAGUCAGGGGUGAAAGCCCGAGGCUCAACCUCGGAACUGCCUUUGAUACUGUCGAUCUGGAGUCCGGGAGAGGUGAGUGGAACUCCUAGUGUAGAGGUGAAAUUCGUAGAUAUUAGGAAGAACACCAGUGGCGAAGGCGGCUCACUGGCCCGGUACUGACGCUGAUGUGCGAAAGCGUGGGGAGCAAAC